rnacentral:lncRNA from 1 species
CUGCACCACAGCAGGAACCCAAGCCACUGCAAUGACCACACUGGAUCCUUAACCUUCUGUGCCGCAAGAGAACCCCCAAAUUGUCCCAUUUUUAAAGAAAAGCUGAAAAUAUGGGUUUCAGUAUAGUGCUUUCCAUUCUUAACUACUAGCAGGUCAUUCCAGUUUAAAAUCAUACUGGUAAAUGGAUAAAGAAACUGUGGUACAUCCAUACAAUGGAAUAUCAUUCAGCAAUAAAAAGACAUGAUUAAUGAAGCCAUAAAAAGACGUGGGGGAAUUGUAAAUGCAUAUUGCUAAGUGAGGGAAGGCAGUUUGAAAAGGCUACAUACUGCGUGAUUCCAAGCACAUGACAUUCUAGAAAAGGCAAAGCUAUAGAGAAAAUGAAAAGAUCAAUGUUUUCCAAGAUUUGGGGAAAUGGGGAAAAAUAUGAAUAGGUAAAAUAUAGGGGAUUUUUAGGCCAGUGAAACUAUUUUUAUGCUGCUCUAAUGGUGAAUACAUGACAUUAUAUCUGUUGCAACCCAUAGAACUGUACAACACAAGGAGUGAACCCUAAUAUAAGUGAUGGGCUUCAGUUAAUAAUAAUGUCCUAAUAAUAAUGUAUUAUGUUGGUUCCUCAAUUGCAGCAAAUGUCCGUGUUAAUGUAGGAUGUUUACAAUAAAGGAAACUGUUGGAGUGGAUGUGGAUGUAGGAAGAAAUACAUAUGGGAGCCCUCUACUUUCCACUCAGUUUUCUGUAAACCUAAAACUGCUCUAAAAAUAAGGGCUAUUAUUUUCAAAAAAUACUGAAAGUACCCUGUGGGCCAAAUAUGCCUGCUGGAUCCAGCUACCAUUCUGUGACUUCUGACUUAAUGCAACACCCUCAUUUUUACAGAUGGGAAAACUGAAGACCAGAGAAAGGAAGUGCCCAGCCAGUCUGCAAAACAAAGCUUCCCAUCUCAGGAUGCUGGGGAUCUUCCCAACAGAGAGAAAGGGGUACCCCCAUAAAGGUCUGUGGCUUGUGUACAAAAAGGUAGCUGAGGACAGAGGCCAGUGGAGAGCUUUGGCUCUGACCAGGGCAGCUGGGCCAAAAUGCCUCAGCAGGUAGUGAGAGCCUUCGAGAGCCUAGAUGCUCUUAGUGUCUGUGUUUGUUUAGCCAGAGACCAGGCUCCCUCCCAGCUUGGCCUGGAUCAGAUUCACUGAAUUGGAUGCAGAAAAGAGUGGACACUUGUGACCCUCGUAUGUGCUUUAGAGCAGGAAAAGACUCAGAGGACAGGAGCUUCCAUUUGCAGGGCCCAACCCUGGAGCUCAGGGACUGUUGAUGUUAUGAUAACAUGAGACCUUGGAGGAGUGCUAGGUGACCUUUCUGUACUUUAUCUCCUCUAAUUCUUCCAUUCCCAUCAGAACAUAAAUCAGGUAGGACGGAAGCUAUUAUUCUGGUUUUAUAGAUGAUUAAACUGAGAUGAAAGAGAGAUUAAGUGUGUUCCUCACACUGACCCAACCAGUGCAUGGCAGAGAUGGGGUUUGAAUCCAGCCCUGCUUUUAAAUAUUAAAAAUUAUAUUUGGCUAGAGACAAAAAGAAUUGUUUAUAAACACUGCACUCUAGUUGUUAAAUGUGUUUGUGAAAGGAAUAGAAGUUAGCAUUCUGAAACUGUGUAUAUGAGGGUUAAACAAAUAAGUAAAUAAAUUGUAGAUAAUGGGAGCCAAGUUUCUCACUUCAGAGGAUGAAGUCACACAUGAGCAUGAGAAAAAGACUAGAAGGCACUCUGCGGGGAUAGAGUAGAGUUGGAAGCCUCAGUAUGAAUUCAGGUCUAUUUUAAUAUAUACAAGUAGAUAUAGAAACAAAUAUAGAUAUGUGCGUAUACAUGGGUUAGCAGAGUUCUACAUUUCCUUGCUCUGUAUGCAGAUAGGAUCUAGGAGCAGUGACACCUCGGUAGGAAUGCAAACCCUCAAUGUCCAGACCUUGGUUCCUAAAUGCCAUUUUCCAGUGAAGAAGCCUGGGCUGCUUAGGGAAAUGGCCAGUUCUAGGACCGAGCCAGGGAAAAUACAGGGUGAUCCUAAAGUCUAAAGUAGUGCCAAAAAGUAAGGAAGUAUUAAGAAAAAAGACACAUGAAAAAGGACAUAUGAGUCAACCUGAAAGAGCUUCCAGUGGCUAAAGUAAAUAUAUGUAAUAUUGGGUUAUAACCCAAAGUAUAAAAAAAUUCCAUGAGUCCAUAUUGAAUAAACAGAUAAAUAGGGGAGUUCCCGUCGUGGCUCAGUGGUUUACGAAUCCAGCUAGGAACCAUGAGGUUGCCGGUUCCAUCCUUGGCCUUGCUCAGUGGGUUAAGGAUCCGGCGUUGCAAUGAGCUGUGGUGUAGGUUGCAGACCCGGCUCAGGUCCUGCAUUGCUGUGGCUCUGGCGUAGGCCAGAGGCUACAGCUCUGAUUAGACCCCUAGCCUGGGAACCUCCAUAUGCUGUGGGUGCGGCCCUAGAAAAGAAAAAAAAAGCAAAAACAAAAACAGAUAAAUAAGGAAGAAGUGCCAAAUAUUCCUUAUAGAAGAAUUCCAAAUAUUAACUAUAGAAGAAAUGAGGGAAAUAGAAGAUUACCAUUAGACACCAUACUAAUAAUUGCAAGAUCCACUGAAUAUGGUAAAAUCGGUGGGCAAAACAUUAAAGAGAAAUAGGAUGUUUGUAUUGCCUCAAAGGACCCCUCUCUCCAAAUAUGAUGGUUUUAACAUACGUCCACAACUUCUUUGAUAUUCCUCUCCCAGGAGGUAGAACUUAAUGUCUCACUUCUUGAACUUGGUGAGAACCAUAGACUCAACUCAGUCUUUCUCUUCUCCAAGUAGGCUGUGGGAAAGGGAAAAGUCUAAUGUUAUAAUGGAGAAACCUGGCAGACACCACAUUAACCAAGUGCUCAGAUUUAACACCAACAACAUUAUUUAUAUGUACCCCUGAUAUGAUGCAAUGAAAAGAUAAUUUCAUCUCUGUGAUGUUCUUCCUAAAAAUCUAUUAGCUCUGUUGUGUCAUGGAGAAAUCAUCGGACACAUCCAAGUUGACAACAUGCUAAAAAAUACAUGAGUAGUACUCUUCAAAAAUGUGGAGGUCAGAGUUCCUGUCGUGGCGCAGCAGAAACGAAUCUGACUAGGAACCAUGAGGACAGGGGUUCAAUCCCUGGCCUCGCUCAGUGAGUUAAGGAUCCGGCGUUGCCGUGAGCUGGGCUGUAGGUCGCAGACGUGGUUCGGAUCUGGCGAUGCUGGGGCUGUAAUGUAGGCCGGCGGCCGAAGCUCCGAUUAGACCCCUAGCCUGGGAACCUCCAUAUGCCAUGGAUGGGGCCCUAAAGACAAAAAAAAAAAAAAAAAAAAGAAUUCAGUAGUUCUCAUCAUGUGCACUUCUAACCACAGCGGUAACAUCAAAAAAAAAAAAAUUGUCAAGGUCAUGAAAAAUUUAAAAAAAAAAGGAAAGAAUGAGGAAUUUUCACUGAUUGAGGAGAAUAAGGAGACAUGAUGACUAAAUGUAAUGUAUUGAGUUUUGGAACAAAAAAGGGAUAUAAGCAAGAAAAAUGUGAAAUUUCAGUGAGGUCUAUAGGUAACAGUUUUGUGCCAAUGAUGAUUUCUUAGUUUUGAUACUUUUACAGUAGUUAUGUAAGAUAUUUUUUUUUAGGGCUGAACCUAUGGCAUAUGGAAGUUCCCAGACUAGGGAUCAAAUCAGAGCUGCAGCUGCCAGCCUACACCACAGCCACAGCAACUUGGGAUGCGAGCCACAUCUGCUACCUACACCACAGCUCCUGGCAACGCCAGAUCCUUAACCCAGUGAGCAAGGCCAGGGAUCAAACCCACGUCCUCAUGGAUACUAAUCAGUUUGUAACCUGUUAAGCCACAACAGGAACUGAUAAGUAAGAUGUUAAUAUUAGGAAAAAUUGGGGAAAGGAUGAGUAGGAACUGUCCUGUCUUUUGUAACUCUUCUCUCUCUCUCUGUUUUUUGUUGUUGUUUUUGUUUUUGUUUGUUUGUUUGUUUGUUUGUUUGUUUUGCUUUUUAGGGCCAUACCCAUGGCAUAUGGAAGUUCCCAGACUAGGGGUCAAAUCAGGGCUUCAGCUGCCAGCCUACAUCACAGUCAUAGUAACACUGGAUCCUUAACCCAUUGAGUGAGGCCAGGGAUUAAACCUGCAUCCUCAUAGAUCCUAGCUGGGUUCCUUAACUACUGAGCCAUGAAGGAAACCCUCUUUUGCAACUCUUAUGUGAAUCAAAAAAUUUUCCAAAAUAAAAAGUUAUAACAUAAAAUAAAUUAUAUUUGUUGCACAAAGAAAUUAAUAAAUGCUCAGAGUUCCCAUCAUGACGCAGUGGUUGACGAAUCUGACUAGGAACCAUGAAGUUGCGGGUUCGAUCCCUGCCCUUGCUCAGUGGGUUGACAAUCCGGCGUUGCCGUGGGCCAUGGUGUGGGUCGCAGAUGUGGCUUAGAUCCCGCGUUGCUGUGGCUCUGGUGUAGGCUGGGGACCUCCAUAUGCUGCAGGAGCGGCCCAAAAAAUGGCAAAAAAAAAGACAAAAAAAAAAUUAAUAGCCACCACCAAGGAAAUCUCAAAGCCAAUGAGAAGUUGCCAUGCUGCUUUAUAGUUCUAACACAUCUACUGUCAAAUUAAGCCUUCAGUUUUCAGAUCUAGUUUACAUGAUUCCAUGCUGAUCUUUCUAACAGACAAGAGGGUAAAAUGAGAUAUUUACUGUGGUGCCCAUUGCAUGGGCGAGGAAACUGAGUCACAGAUAAUAGUUUCCAAUGUCUCACUGAACAGAUGGGAGGAUUCUAGCUCAGAGAAAAGGAAGGAUUUGCCCUAGUCACAUAGCAGGUUAGGGGCCAAUCCAGGACUAGAACUCUGGGAGUUUCUUUGUUGUGGUGCAGUGAGUUAAGGAUCCGGCAUUGUCACUGCAGCAGCUUGUGUCAUGGCUCCAUUUUCAAUUUUUUUUGGCCGCACCCAUUGCAUAUGGAAUUUCCCAGACCAGAGAUUGAAUCUGCGCCACAACAGCGACCCAAGACCAGGACAACACUGGGUCCUUAAUCCACUAUGCCUCAAGAGGACUCUUCUGGCCCCCUAUUCUUAAAACUAUCUUGGCUGCUGUUUUAAGGCAGCUGCAGACAAAGCUUAAAUUUGGACUAUUUGGGAAGGCAAAGGAGAGUAAUUCUCAUUUUGCCCCC